CCCCUUCUGAAAAAGCACUCGCUGGGCCUGCGCCGUGGCCGGGCGAGUUGUCGUGGAAGGGCAGAGCGAAGGCGCCGCUUUUGGGUGAGGUGGCAGCUCCUGCUGCUCGCCUCAAUCGGUGGUGGGACAGCU
rnacentral:snoRNA from 1 species